UGAGUACGAGAUGCUACGGCAUCGAAGCAGUCUAUGUCAUACUUCCAAGAAAAGCUUGCACUGUCAUAAACAAAGAAUGCCUGUACCAUAACCGACACAGGUGGGUAGGUAGAGUAUACUAAGGGGCGCGAGAUAACUCUCUCUAAGGAACUCGGCAAAAUGACUCCGUAACUUCGGGAGAAGGAGUGCCUUAUUUCUAAGGUUGCAAUAACAAGAUCCAAGCAACUGUUUACCAAAAACACAGGUCUCCGCUAAGUCGUAAGACGAUGUAUGGGGGCUGACGCCUGCUCAGUGCCAGAAGGUUAAAGAAGUUGGUUAGCAUUAGCGAAGCUGAUAACUGAAGCCCUGGUGAACGGCGGCCGUAACAAUAACGGUCCUAAGGUAGCAAAAUUCCUUGUCGGGUAAGUUCCGACCCGCACGAAAGGCGUAAUGAUUUGGAUACUGUCUCGGAGAGGGGCUCGGUGAAAUAGACUUGUCUGUGAAGAUGCGGACUACCUGCACCUGGACAGAAAGACCCUAUGAAGCUUUACUGUAACUUGAGAUUGAAAUUGGACUUUAUUUGCGCAGUAUAGGUGGGAGGCGUUGAGAAUAAUCUUGCGGGAUUGUUGGAGCCAUCAGUGAGAUACCACUCUUGUAAUGUUAGAUUUCUAACUUUGUAUCAUUAUCUGGUCAAAGAACAGUUUCAGGCGGGCAGUUUGACUGGGGCGGUCGCCUCCCAAAGGGUAACGGAGGCGCACAAAGGUUUCCUCUGAACGGGUAGAAAUCGUAUCUAGAGUGUAAAGGCAUAAGGAAGCUUGACUGUGAGACCUACAAGUCGAGCAGGGACGAAAGUCGGUCUUAGUGAUCUGACGGUGCUGAGUGGAAAGGCCGUCACUCAACGGAUAAAAGUUACUCUAGGAUAACAGGCUGAUCUCCCCCAAGAGUUCACAUCGACGGGGAGGUUUGGCACCUCGAUGUCGGCUCAUCGCAUCCUGGGGCGGUAGUCCGUCCCAAGGGUUGGGCUGUUCGCCCAUGAAAGCGGUACGCGAGCUGGGUUCAGAACGUCGUGAGACAGUUCGGUCCAUAUCCGGUGUAGGCGUUAAAUAUUGAGAGGAGCCUUCUCUAGUACGAGAGGAGCGAGAAGGACAUACCUCUGGUGUACCAGUUAUCGUGCCAACGGUAAACGCUGGGUAGCUAUGUAUGGAGUGGAUAACCGCUGAAAGCAUCUAAGUGGGAAGCCCACCUCAAGAUAAG
rnacentral:rRNA from 1 species